CCGUGAGGGUCACAUGCUACCUGCAAUUCAAAAUAUGCUAGGAAGGGAAAAAACCCUUUGUGUCUGUGGAAAAGCUGAAUAAGAAGAUGGAAAUUAUCAGCAGAGAGAGCUGUAAAUGAAAUAAUACGAAAUGACCUCUCCAGCACGAGCACCCACUCCUAGUUGCCACAUUGGAGCACUCAGUUCAGCAGGGGUAUGCUGACUUCAGCAGACAAAGACUUUUGAAUAAAUAAACUGAACUCACACCUGGUACCACUCAGAACCUCCAACUGACUGAAUGCCAGGAGCUGAACAUUAAUAUGUGCAAAGAUUGGCUCUCCAACAAGAAGGAAAGCAGGGAGGAAGGGAGACCACUGUGUCACCUGGAGGAGAAGUCAUCUCAUGACAACAGAAGGGAGGUGGCCGGGCUGAGCACGGGAGACCCACCGUGCAGGGGCCUUUCAUGGGAACGGCCCACACGCAGUUUGACCCCACGCCCAGCCCUUCUGGCACCCCUGGGGUUCAAUACUGGAAGUGCCUUAUUUAACCAGACCAUCAGGGCAUCAUAGAAUUGAGCAUUGAAUUUGCUACUGUAGGAGUAUUUUUAGGAGCAGAAACUGCAAACACAUUUCAUUGUGAGGUUUUACCCUCUGUAUGAAUGAAGAGAACGCUGGAAGGCUGCGAGAGGACUCUAGUAUGAGUCUCCAACAUUUGGAACGUUUCCUGGGCUGUCACGUACACUCCUGCUGCCUUACACAGUGCAUUUUAGAAUCUUCCAGUCUGUCAUCUCAGCUCUUUUGUAACAUGCUUCCCUUGUCUGCGCGGUUGAAACCGUAGGCUUGUUCAUAGUCGCAUGCUCGCAUCUUUGUUUUUAAUCUGGCUUCGAACAUAGCACAAGUAACUUGAAUAGCACAUCAAUAGGUUACUGGACAAAAGCAGAAAAACCUGUUACAGGAUAGCCUGCAUUUGCAUGUGUGUACAUAUCUAGGCAUCUAUUUAUGUAUAAAUAAUAACAGAGCCGACGUGUCCUCGCCCAGGAGGGCUUCCCUGUCAGCAAUAACCGGCAUCCGUUUUGGAACCUGCGUCUGGGGCUCCAGUCGCUGCUCUUGCUGGCGUCCAUCGCCGCCUCGGACGGCCGUGCAUUUUCUCGUCUCACGCAGUUCGAGGAGGACCCUAGAAAGCCAGGAGCUGUGAUUGACAGUAGCUGUAGGUUACCAGACGGCAACAUUAGAAAGUGAUUGUAAAUAACAUGCAACCUAAGUGUAAUAUAUUUGUUCAGUUAUAAGAUGAUUGUUUCACAGAAGCCUUACCACUCUCUGCUUCAUCUAAGAAAACCAAUACCAAAAACGCCACUUUAAUGCUCAGCCCUGCGUUGUGUGUUUUCAGAUGAGUUACUGUUAACAGGUAGGUUUGUGUAGGCCUUGCUGGGCACUCUGUACAAUUAGUUGCUUAUUACGUAUGAUUACUCACAGCGAUCUAUUGUUCCAUAUAACCAAAAAGCAUGGUUUAUUCAUUGAAACACGGUUGACCUGAACUCGUGCCUUAGGAAUUAAUGCCCCCUUAUGGAACCUGCCUGAAUUGCACCUGCGGGUGGAGGCUCCGGCUGUGAAGUCACUGAACAGAACGUCGCUGAUGGAGAAAGGGCUCCCGCAGAAGGAACGGCCUGUACCGUGCGCUCCGGCACAAUCG
rnacentral:lncRNA from 1 species